GUGGGGAAUAUUGCACAAUGGGCGCAAGCCUGAUGCAGCAACGCCGCGUGAGGGAUGACGGCCUUCGGGUUGUAAACCUCUUUUAGUAGGGAAGAAGCGAAAGUGACGGUACCUGCAGAAAAAGCACCGGCUAACUACGUGCCAGCAGCCGCGGUAAUACGUAGGGUGCAAGCGUUGUCCGGAAUUAUUGGGCGUAAAGAGCUCGUAGGCGGCUUGUCGCGUCUGCUGUGAAAACCCGAGGCUCAACCUCGGGCCUGCAGUGGGUACGGGCAGGCUGGAGUGCGGUAGGGGAGAUUGGAAUUCCUGGUGUAGCGGUGGAAUGCGCAGAUAUCAGGAGGAACACCGAUGGCGAAGGCAGAUCUCUGGGCCGUAACUGACGCUGAGGAGCGAAAGCGUGGGGAGCGAACAGGAUUAGAAACCCCAGUAGUCC
rnacentral:rRNA from 1 species